rnacentral:rRNA from 1 species
UAACGCGAAGAACCUUACCUGGGUUUGACAUGCACUAGACGCCGGUAGAGAUAUCGGUUCCCUUGUGGCUGGUGUGCAGGUGGUGCAUGGCUGUCGUCAGCUCGUGUCGUGAGAUGUUGGGUUAAGUCCCGCAACGAGCGCAACCCUCGUUCCAUGUUGCCAGCGGGUUAUGCCGGGGACUCAUGGGAGACUGCCGGGGUCAACUCGGAGGAAGGUGGGGAUGACGUCAAGUCAUCAUGCCCCUUAUGUCCAGGGCUUCACACAUGCUACAAUGGCCUAUACAGAGGGCUGCGAGACCGCGAGGUGGAGCGAAUCCCUUAAAGUAGGUCUCAGUUCGGAUCGGGGUCUGCAACUCGACCCCGUGAAGUUGGAGUCGCUAGUAAUCGCAGAUCAGCAACGCUGCGGUGAAUACGUUCCCGGGUCUUGUACACACCGA